CUACGGGGGGUGCGAAUGUUGUUCGGAAUCACUGGGCGUAAAGCGCGCGCAGGCGGCUUGGUAAGUCAGAUGUGAAAGCCCCGGGCUCAACCCGGGAAGUGCAUUUGAAACUGUCAGGCUUGAGUGCGGUAGAGGGAGGUGGAAUUCUCAGUGUAGAGGUGAAAUUCGUAGAUAUUGAGAGGAACACCGGUGGCGAAGGCGGCCUCCUGGACCGACACUGACGCUGAGGCGCGAAAGCGUGGGGAGCAAACAGGAUUAGAAACCCCAGUAGUCC
rnacentral:rRNA from 1 species